CAACUCACUGCCAAUUUGCUUGACAUCAUGGGAAAAUCUGAAGAAAUCAACCAAGACCUCAGAAGAAGAAAUAAUGUGGACCUCCACAAGUCUGGUUCAUUCCUGGGCACAAUUUCCAAAUGCCUGAAGGUACCACGUUCAUCCGUACAAAAAAAUAUUACUCAAGUAUAAACACCAUGGGACCACGUAGCCGUCCACCGCUCAGGAGGGAGACGCGUUCUGUCUUCUAGAGAUGAAUGUGCUUUGGUGCGAAAAGUGCAAAUCAAUCCCAGAACAAAAGGACAUCGUGAAGAUGAUGCUGGGGAAAACGGAUCUUUAUAUUAUAACCAUUCACUGGAAAAUAACACGCUCAUUACUUUAAACAUGGAAAUGAGGUCAGGAGGCUGCAGUGACUUGCUAGAGCCACGCUGCAGCAAAGAUGCUCCUGCCAUGGAGUAUCGCCUGAGAAAAAGUGCAUUGAAAGCCGGGAUGCUGACAGAAGAAUGAGGAGCAGGGUGCGGGGCCGACAGGGAUGGCCUCCAGCACUGCAGAUGGGCCACAGACAGCUUGCAUGUUGUAGGCCUACAAAUGAGAAAGUAGCGAGAUACACAAUACACAUUUGAAAAUGUGUUUUGUGAUUUUAUCUCUAUGGGAUUCUUACAACUGUAUUUGCCAUUCCACUGUACAUUUAUUAGGUAUUUAUUAGACUUUUUUUUUCUUGUGUUCUUCUGCUGCCAUAACCUAUCCAUUUACAGAUUUGAUACAUUGCAGUUCAGAGAUGCUGUUCUGCAUACCACUGUUAUAAUGUGUGCUUAUUUGCGUUACUGUCACCUUCCUGUCUGCUUUGAUCACUCUAUAUGUAUAUAUAUAUAUUUUUUUAAAUUUUAACUAACUUUUCAACUGAUUCACACAGUUUUAUGUAU